rnacentral:rRNA from 1 species
CCUACGGGUGGCAGCAGUGGGGAAUAUUGGACAAUGGGGGGAACCCUGAUCCAGCGACGCCGCGUGAGUGAAGAAGUAUUUCGGUAUGUAAAGCUCUAUCAGCAGGGAAGAAAGAAAUGACGGUACCUGACUAAGAAGCCCCGGCUAACUACGUGCCAGCAGCCGCGGUAAUACGUAGGGGGCAAGCGUUAUCCGGAUUUACUGGGUGUAAAGGGAGCGUAGACGGCGAUGCAAGUCUGAAGUGAAAGGCGGGGGCCCAACCCCGGGACUGCUCUGGAAACUGCCUGGCUGGAGUACAGGAGAGGUAAGUGGAAUUCCUAGUGUAGCGGUGAAAUGCGUAGAUAUUAGGAGGAACACCAGUGGCGAAGGCGGCUUACUGGACUGUAACUGACGUUGAGGCUCGAAAGCGUGGGGAGCAAACAGGAUUAGAUACCCGAGUAGUC